GAUGAACGCUGGCGGCGUGCUUAACACAUGCAAGUCGAACGGAAAGGCCCUGCUUUUGUGGGGUGCUCGAUUGGCGAACGGGUGAGUAACACGUGAGUAUCCUGCCCUUGACUUUGGGAUAACUUCAGGAAACUGGGGCUAAUACCGGAUAGGAGAUCCUGCUGCGUGGUGGGGGUUGGAAAGUUUCGGCGGUUGGGGAUGGACUCGCGGCUUAUCAGCUUGUUGGUGGGGUAGUGGCUUACCAAGGCUUUGACGGGUAGCCGGCCUGAGAGGGUGACCGGGCACAAUAGGACUGAGAGACGGAGCAGAGGGGAACGUGAGGCAGCGGGGGGGAGCAUGACACAAUGAGCGGGCGCGUGAGGCGGCGGCGCUGGGUGCGUGAUGACGGCCUUCGGGGUAAGAACCGCUUUCGCCUGAGACGAAGCGGGAGUGACGGUACCGAGUAAAGAAGCACCGGCUAACUACGUG
rnacentral:rRNA from 1 species